UACGUAGGUGGCAAGCGUUGUCCGGAUUUAUUGGGUUUAAAGGGUGCGUAGGCGGUCUAUUAAGUCAGUGGUGAAAUAUCGCAGCUUAACUGUGAGGGUGCCAUUGAUACUGAUGGACUUGAGUGAAGUCGAAGUAGGCGGAAUUGACGGUGUAGCGGUGAAAUGCUUAGAUAUCCUCAAGAACACCGCUCGUGAAGACGGCUUACUAGGCUUAUACUGACGCUGAGGCACGAAAGUGUGGGGAUCAAACAGG
rnacentral:rRNA from 1 species